ensembl:misc_RNA Metazoa_SRP Metazoan signal recognition particle RNA
GCUGGGUGCAGUGGCGCGUGCCUGUAAUCCCAGCUACUCGGGAGGCUGAGGCUGGAGGCAGGGGUUCUGGGCUGCAGUGUGCUAUGCCGAUCGGGUGUCCGCACUAAGUUCGGCAUCAAUAUGGUGACCUCCCGGGAGUCGGGGACCACCAGGUUGCCUAAGGAGUGGUGAACCAGCCCAGGUCGGAAACGGAGCAGGUCAAAACUCCCGUGCUGAUCAGUAGUGGGAUCACGCCUGUGAAUAGCCACUGUACCCCAGCCUGGGCAACAUAUAUAUAUUUU